rnacentral:lncRNA from 1 species
CAAAUACGUAGCAGUUAUCCAAGAAAAAAAAUAAAGCUGAACUAGUUCAGGAACAUUGUUAUUUAUUAACUGCGUUAAUGUUUUAUAAAUGUAGCUGUAUCUGUUCGUGAACUGGGAUCCGCUUGUAUUACGCUUCACUCAACAAAGUGUAGAAAUCCGCCUAGAACCAGCUUAUUCGGUUCGAAGACUUAGUGGCGUUAAACAGCAACAGCAACAAAAAAAAUACUUCCUUGUUCACAAUGUACGCAAUUCAUAUUCAGAGUAAAAGAAAAUAGAUACUAGUCAAAUUGAUUUAAACUUUUAGAGGGAUUUAAACCAAUAGAAUUAAUGAGACAUCUCUCCAUCCAAGACGCAAUGUGUAAUCAAAGUACUGGAGUACUGAACAUCGGAUGACCGCAAGUUCUUGUGGAUGAUCACAAGCACUUGUCUCAGAAAAAAAUCAUAUUCUACAUCUUUACAAAACGGAAUUUUUAUACAGGACCACUAACACAGUACGUGACCUCUAUAACAGCUAUGUUGAAGAAGAUCUUCAUAUGAACACCUAUCGUAUGGCUAUUAGAAUAUACAAGGUAUUGGAGUGCACCACGACCAUACCUCGUCUCAAUAGAUAAUUGCUAUUAUAAGUACUAUUUCCACCACUUCAAAAUAGACGAACUCCUUAUAUAUUCGAUGUUAUUUUUUUUUUCAGUCGGGCGCCAAACGCUACAGUAGUAAAGCAUGUUCGCCUGCUAUCAUUAACACGAUUAAACUCUAGACAGCCAGAAUAGUCAGCUAGCGUUCUCACGACUUUGGUAAACAUGUUAAAGUAGCCAGCACUUUGUUAACCCAUGAUUUUGGGUGGUUAUACAAUAACUCGGCCGCAGAAAGAGUGUACUAAUUAUGUUUAAAUAGUGCAAUUAAAGCUGUUUAUCGUUUCAACACUAUAAAUUACGAUGUAUUUUAACAUUUAAUUCAAAAUGUCAAAUAUUUGAUUAGUGAUCAAAUUUCUAAAUGUUGAAAACUGUGACGAAAUGCGUAAAUAUAUGUUAUGACAUUCACUUCACAAUCAGUGGAAGAUCCAUAAUUUUUCAUAAGUGGGGCCCAAUGACUGCCUAAGAGGGGAACCGCUCCAGUCAUGAUUCCCUAUGGAAUCAACCAAAUUUUUCCCACAAAGGGGGGGGGGGGGCACAUGAAAAACCCUCUAAAUCCGCAUCUGGCAGUAGAGUUCCAUUAUAAUUAUUAUUAUUAGCAUCAUUAUACCGUAAAAUUACUAUUCAAGUAAAAAUUAUUGAAGGUACAAAUAAAACAGAUAUACCCAAAAUGCUACAACGAUGUUUAUGUUGAAUAAAUUAUUUUACCAGAAUAAUCCCUCCUCUUAUAGAAAGGUUUAUGAAGUAAUGGUAGAUCAGCAAAGUACCGGUAUAACGACAGAAUUAUAAGGGUUACAAUUAACCAUACAUUGUUAUACGUGUUUUAUAUAUAGGUAUAGUAUACUAAAGUUACAGUUAUUUAACUCUAAUCAAAUCUCACAAAUUGAUUAAAAAGACAAACCGAAACAUUAAUAAAAAAAAAAAAACAAAAAA